GUGACAUUCAGCUUGGCAAGCAUGGAUCUGCAUUGUGCCAAAGAAGAAGGAGGCAAGGCAGAAGGAAAGAAAGGAAAGCAAAGGAAGAUAGCAAAGUAGGUGUGAGGCAGUCUUGCAACAGGACAGCAUGCCCUUUUGCUUCUUGAGCACUUGUGCGUGGCUCAUGGGAUUUGGGGCACAUCCUUAGAAACUUAAAUUUUCAGUAGCCAUGCUAGCUGAGGAGCUGUGGGAGUUGUGGUUUACAAAAGUAAUUUUUUGUUGUUGUUGUUAUUCUAGUCAUCACAGGUAGGGCAUGGAGCUUGAAAUCAAGUUGGGAAUGUGUACAAUAUAUAUACGCUCUUGCAAUCAGGGUGCAAUAUCUCCAUAUAUUCUAAUAACAUUUUCGUUGGAGCUUCUUCUUCUUCUGGCUACUGAAGCUUCAGCAAAUAUCAACUGGUGAUCUCAGAUGACACCUGACCUUCUCUGAAGGAUCUGAACAACUGCCAUUGGGAGCCAUGCUUCGGAAACUGCAGGGAUGUCAGUAGAAAGCAAGUCCAACUGGUCCCCAAACUGUUCCCUGGAAGAGCAAAAGCUGGAAAGUUUGUGUGUACCAGGGCGAACAACAAGGUCAUGCUCGAGGACCAAAGGCAGGAGAAUUCAAGUGAGCUGGAUGGGAAGAGAAGUAAGAACGGAAGCUGGGGUGUUGAUGGGACUGGAAGCAGUCGAUAAAGUGCAGGAGUAAGUCAUCAUGUGGAGAUCAGAAUGUGCUGUGGAGUUGUGACAGAGACACACUGUCUGGCCGUAGAGGAUCACAAAGUGAAUAUGGUAAAGAUGGCGUUCCUUUCUUUAAGGAAGAGCCUAAAAUGGUUCCUUCCUUGCUGUCAGUUUUGCUGACCUCCCCUGUCAAAACCUGACGAGAAAACCCCAUGAUAGUGUCACCAGAAGUGGGAAAUGACUUGAAGGCAUACAACAACAACAACAACAACAACAACAACAACAACAACGGCUGCCUAUGGGCUCUCACCACAAUAUUAAAAUACAUCAAAUCUUUAGUUGGGUCUUCCAGAUGUUUUGGACUUCACCUCCCAAAAUCCCUGACUCCUGACCAAUCUGGCUGAGGUUUAUGGGAGUUGAAGUCAAGACACUUGGAGGACCAAAGUUUGGGAAUCAUUGCUCUAGUUAAAGGAGCUAACAUGCAAUUUUGAACAUUAAAACACUCUUAAAUACAGUUAUGUUAAAACUAUAGAACAACCCCUAGCCCAUGCUUAUGAUGGUGGUGGGACUGAGAGAAGGGCCUCUCUUGAUAACCUCAGGGAUGGUAAUUGUACAGGGAGAUGUAGUCCACCAGAUAGGCUGGACCUAAGCCAUCGAGGGCUUUGUAGGUCAUAGCCAGCAUCUAACCAGCACGUCACCAGCUUUUGACAGUGUGCUGUGCUGUUUUAAUGGCCCUGUUUCUUAACUGCUUUUAAACAUUGUAAUUACAUGGCUUACAUUGUUUUUAGCGUCAUUAAUAGUCUAAUCCUGUUUUAGUGUUGACCUUUUAUAUAUUUUUUAACCACGUUGAUUUUGUUUUAGUGAGUAAAUCACCUUGUUUGGGGCAUAAAUGAAGAUAG